UCGUGUCGUGAGAUGUUGGUUAAGUCCCGCAACGAGCGCAACCCUUGUCUUUAAUUGCCAUCAUUUAUUGGGCACUUUAAAGAGACUGACCGGUGGUUAAGCCGGAGGAAGGUGGGGAUGACGUCAAGUCCUCAUGGCCUUUAUGCCCAGGGCUACACACGUGCUACAAUGGGCGGUACAAAGAGAAGCAACCUCGCGAGGGUGAGCAAAUCUCAAAAAGCCGUUCUCAGUUCGGAUUGAAGUCUGCAACUCGACUUCAUGAAGUCGGAAUCGCUAGUAAUCGCGGAUCAGCAUGCCGCGGUGAAUACGUUCCCGGGCCUU
rnacentral:rRNA from 1 species